UACGUAGGGUGCAAGCGUUGUCCGGAAUUAUUGGGCGUAAAGAGCUCGUAGGCGGCCUGUCGCGUCCGCUGUGAAAUCCCGGGGCUUAACCCCGGGCCUGCAGUGGAUACGGGCAGGCUAGAGUUCGGUAGGGGAGACUGGAAUUCCUGGUGUAGCGGUGAAAUGCGCAGAUAUCAGGAGGAACACCGAUGGCGAAGGCAGGUCUCUGGGCCGAUACUGACGCUGAGGAGCGAAAGCGUGGGGAGCGAACAGG
rnacentral:rRNA from 1 species